rnacentral:tRNA from 1 species
GCGGAGGUAGCUCAGUCGGUAGAGCCCCGGAUUGUGGCUCCGGUGGUCGCGGGUUCGAACCCCGUCCUUCGCC